rnacentral:rRNA from 1 species
GGAAUUAAAAAGGCAUCUUUUUAUUUUUUAAAGACCUUUUUCGGAAGGUAUGCUUAAAGAGGGGCUUGCGUCACAUUAGUUAGUUGGCAGGGUAAAGGCCUACCAAGACUAUGAUGUGUAGCUGGACUGAGAGGUUGAACAGCCACAUUGGGACUGAGACACGGCCCAAACUCCUACGGGAGGCAGCAGUAGGGAAUUUUCGGCAAUGGAGGAAACUCUGACCGAGCAACGCCGCGUGAACGAUGAAGUAUUUCGGUAUGUAAAGUUCUUUUAUUGAAGAAGAAAAAAUAGUGGAAAAACUAUCUUGACGAUAUUCAAUGAAUAAGCCCCGGCAAACUAUGUGCCAGCAGCCGCGGUAAUACAUAGGGGGCGAGCGUUAUCCGGAAUUAUUGGGCGUAAAGGGUGCGUAGGCGGUUUAAUAAGUCUAUAGUUUAAUUUCAGUGCUUAACACUGUCCUGCUAUAGAAACUAUUAGACUAGAGUGAGAUAGAGGCAAGUGGAAUUCCAUGUGUAGCGGUAAAAUGCGUAAAUAUAUGGAGGAACACCAGAGGCGUAGGCGGCUUGCUGGGUCUUUACUGACGCUGAGGCACGAAAGCGUGGGGAGCAAACAGGAUUAGAUACCCUGGUAGUCCACGCCGUAAACGAUGAGUACUAAGUGUCGGGAUUACUCGGUACUGAAGUUAACACAUUAAGUACUCCGCCUGAGUAGUACGUACGCAAGUAUGAAACUUAAAGGAAUUGACGGGACUCCGCACAAGCGGUGGAUCAUGUUGUUUAAUUUGAAGAUACACGAAAAACCUUACCAGGUCUUGACAUACUCUGCAAAGCUAUAGCAAUAUAGUGGAGGUUAUCAGGGAUACAGGUGGUGCAUGGUUGUCGUCAGCUCGUGUCGUGAGAUGUUAGGUUAAGUCCUAAAACGAGCGCAACCCUUGUCAUUAGUUGCCAGCAUGUCAUGAUGGGCACUUUAAUGAGACUGCCAAUGAAAAAUUGGAGGAAGGUGAGGAUCACGUCAAAUCAUCAUGCCCCUUAUGAUCUGGGCUACAAACGUGAUACAAUGGCUGUUACAAAGAGUAGCUGAAACGCAAGUUUAUAGCCAAUCUCAUAAAAGCAGUCUCAGUUCGGAUUGAAGUCUGCAACUCGACUUCAUGAAGUUGGAAUCGCUAGUAAUCGCGAAUCAGCAUGUCGCGGAAAUUA